GCGGGCGUCGUAUAACGGCAUUACCUGAGAUUUCCAAUCUCAAGACAGGGGUUCGACUCCCCUCGCCCGCU
rnacentral:tRNA from 1 species